rnacentral:rRNA from 1 species
UUGAGGAGGAGAGAUGAAAUUUCGUGAUACCAAAGGGACUCUGUAAAGGCGAAGGCAGCCCUCUAUGUAAAAACUGACGUUGAAGGACGAAGGCACAGAGAACAAACAGGAUUAGAUACCCAAGUAGUCUUUGCAGUAAAUGAUGAAUGCCAUAGGUUAGAUUAA